GACGAACGCUGGCGGCGUGCCUAAUACAUGCAAGUUGAGCGCUGAAGGUUGGUGCUUGUACCAACUGGAUGAGCAGCGAACGGGUGAGUAACGCGUGGGGAAUCUGCCUUUGAGCGGGGGACAACAUUUGGAAACGAAUGCUAAUACCGCAUAAAAACUUUAAACACAAGUUUUAAGUUUGAAAGAUGCAAUUGCAUCACUCAAAGAUGAUCCCGCGUUGUAUUAGCUAGUUGGUGAGGUAAAGGCUCACCAAGGCGAUGAUACAUAGCCGACCUGAGAGGGUGAUCGGCCACAUUGGGACUGAGACACGGCCCAAACUCCUACGGGAGGCAGCAGUAGGGAAUCUUCGGCAAUGGACGAAAGUCUGACCGGGCAACGCCGCGUGAGUGAAGAAGGUUUUCGGAUCGUAAAACUCUGUUGGUAGAGAAGAACGUUGGUGAGAGUGGAAAGCUCAUCAAGUGACGGUAACUACCCAGAAAGGGACGGCUAACUACGUG
rnacentral:rRNA from 1 species